rnacentral:rRNA from 1 species
UGGCGGAUGGGCAUGCGUCGCAUUAGUUAGUUGGCGGUGUAACGGACCACCAAGACGACGAUGCGUAGGGGUUCUGAGAGGAAGGUCCCCCACACUGGUACUGAGACACGGACCAGACUCCUACGGGAGGCAGCAGUGAGGAAUAUUGGUCAAUGGGCGGGAGCCUGAACCAGCCAAGUCGCGUGAGGGAUGACGGCCCUAUGGGUUGUAAACCUCUUUUGCCGGGGAGCAAAGUGCCGCACGUGUGCGGUUUGGAGAGUACCCGGAGAAAAAGCAUCGGCUAACUCCGUGCCAGCAGCCGCGGUAAUACGGAGGAUGCGAGCGUUAUCCGGAUUUAUUGGGUUUAAAGGGUGCGUAGGCGGACGCUUAAGUCAGCGGUAAAAUUGCGGGGCUCAACCUCGCCGAGCCGUUGAAACUGGGUGCCUUGAGUGGGCGAGAAGUACGCGGAAUGCGUGGUGUAGCGGUGAAAUGCAUAGAUAUCACGCAGAACUCCGAUUGCGAAGGCAGCGUACCGGCGCCCAACUGACGCUGAAGCACGAAGGCGUGGGUAUCGAACAGGAUUAGAUACCCUGGUAGUCCACGCAGUAAACGAUGAAUGCUAGUUGUCCGGGGCGAUUGAGUUCUGG